rnacentral:misc_RNA from 1 species
AGUUCGUGGUGGAAGCAAGUGCGAAAGCUGGUCACCCAACGUUUGCAUUGGUUAGGGAGAGCACAGUCUCUGAUCCAGCUAAAGGAAAGCUCAUUGAGAAUUUCAAGAACUUAGGGGUCACCAUACUUCAUGGAGAUAUUUGCGAUCAUCAGAGUUUGGUGAAGGCCAUUAAGCAGGUGGAUGUGGUGGUAUCAACAGUUGGUGCCCUGCAACUAGCUGAUCAGACCAAUAUUAUUUCCGCCAUUAAAGAAGCUGGUAAUGUCAAGGUUGUACUCUGUUUCUCUAUCUCAUAUCCAUUUUCAGAUUUCAGUUCUGCAUAGUCUAAUUGAAUAGGAACAAGGACUAGGUUCCUGGAUAUAAUAUAAUAGUUAGAAUUAAAAUGGGUAUUUAAAUUUGACUUUAUUUAAAAUAAUAUUUAUUCAAAUAUUCGAUCUUUAAGCCUAUAUGGCAAGGGAAGACUUUUUUUUUUCUUUUAAGCAAAUUUAUUGGAAAGAAUCCAGGAAAAACUGGAUAAAAGAGAAAAGUACAAACUGGGUUCUACACAAGUUUAUCAACAUACAAAACUAGUGUCAUUCCUGCUAAGAGGAAGGCCCACUUCACUGGGCCAUAUGCACAUGCCUGCAUCUACAAGCAAUGAUGUUUGGUGGUCUGGUGGGAAAUCUUUAUCUAUCAAUAACAAAUAAUGAUUUUAUAUAUGUGAAACUUAAGCUUGAUGUUUUAGUUCUGAAUGGAUCUUGCUGGAGAAUGGAAUUUAAUAUGAUAACCUUGGAAUUGUUCAGAGGUUCUUCCCUUCGGAGUUUGGGAAUGAUGUAGAUCAUGUUCAUGCUGUUGAGCCA